rnacentral:rRNA from 1 species
AACGAACGCUGGCGGCAUGCCUAACACAUGCAAGUCGAACGAGACCUUCGGGUCUAGUGGCGCACGGGUGCGUAACGCGUGGGAACCUGCCCUUAGGUUCGGAAUAACUCCCCGAAAGGGGUGCUAAUACCGGAUAAUGUCUUCGGACCAAAGAUUUAUCGCCUUUGGAUGGGCCCGCGUUGGAUUAGCUAGUUGUUAGGGUAAAAGCCUACCAAGGCGACGAUCCAUAGCUGGUCUGAGAGGAUGAUCAGCCACACUGGGACUGAGACACGGCCCAGACUACUACGAGAGGCAGCAGUGGGGAAUAUUGGACAAUGGGCGAAAGGCUGAUCCAGCAAUGCCGCGUGAGUGAUGAAGGCCUUAGGGUUGUAAAGCUCUUUUACCCGGGAUGAUAAUGACAGUACCGGGAGAAUAAGCACCGGCUAACUCCGUG